GGAAUCCACAGGAUUAUAUCCAAAAGCACAGCAUAGUUCAAUCCGAGAGCUCCAAAGGCUCGUUGCGGAUAACCCCAACCAUCUAAACGUCUUUCGCUCCUAUAUGAUGGAUCUC
rnacentral:snoRNA from 1 species